CAAAGAUGGCCGAUGGCUGGCUCGAAAGUCCGCGGAGUUAACUUUUCAGCAAAAAAAAACAUGCUCCGAAUGGGUUGCAGCUUCCCGUCGCCCUUGGGUUUUUUGUCCUUGUCGUUUAGUCGAUGAACCUGGUGAAGGUCCGACUUGCUGGAUUUCAAUCUGUCACCAGACAAAAUGAAACAGAAAUUUUUUUCCCAGGUGGUUCUCUCUCUUCUGGUUUUAAAGGGAUCUUGCUGUCCCGGGCCACACGUGCACACAGCUCAGGGUAAUCCAGACAAACGGCACGCAGCAACCAGCGAAGGCCCCGUAGAGUCUUCCUGUCUGACCAGC